rnacentral:rRNA from 1 species
UCCAGACUCCUACGGGAGGCAGCAGUGGGGAAUAUUGCACAAUGGGGGAAACCCUGAUGCAGCGACGCCGCGUGAGCGAUGAAGUAUUUCGGUAUGUAAAGCUCUAUCAGCAGGGAAGAAAAUGACGGUACCUGACUAAGAAGCCCCGGCUAACUACGUGCCAGCAGCCGCGGUAAUACGUAGGGGGCAAGCGUUAUCCGGAUUUACUGGGUGUAAAGGGAGCGUAGACGGCGCUGCAAGUCCGGAGUGAAAGCCCAUGGCUUAACCAUGGUACUGCUCUGGAAACUGUGGAGCUUGAGUGCGGGAGGGGCAGGCGGAAUUCCUAGUGUAGCGGUGAAAUGCGUAGAUAUUAGGAGGAACACCAGUGGCGAAGGCGGCCUGCUGGGCUUUAACUGACGCUGAGGCUCGAAAGUGUGGGUAGCAAACAGGAUUAGAUACCCUGGUACAA